rnacentral:rRNA from 1 species
UACGGAGGGUGCAAGCAUUAAUCGGAUUUACUGGGCGUAAAGGGCGCGUAGGCGGAUUAAAAAGUCAGAUGUGAAAUUUCGGUGCUCAACACCGAAGCUGCAUUUGAAACUGGUAGUCUAGAGGAUGGACGGAGAAAACGGAAUUCCACGUGUAGCGGUGAAAUGCGUAGAUAUGUGGAAGAACACCUGUGGCGAAAGCGGUUUUCUAGUUUAUUCCUGACGCUGAGGCGCGAGAGCAAGGGUAGCAAACAGG